CCUACGGGAGGCAGCAGUGAGGAAUAUUGGUCAAUGGACGAGAGUCUGAACCAGCCAAGUAGCGUGAAGGAUGACUGCCCUAUGGGUUGUAAACUUCUUUUAUAAAGGAAUAAAACGAGGCACGUGUGCCUUUUUGCAUGUACUUUAUGAAUAAGGAUCGGCUAACUCCGUGCCAGCAGCCGCGGUAAUACGGAGGAUCCGAGCGUUAUCCGGAUUUAUUGGGUUUAAAGGGAGCGUAGAUGGGUUGUUAAGUCAGUUGUAAAAGUUUGCGGCUCAACCGUAAAAUUGCAAUUGAUACUGCAGUCUUGAGUACAGUUGAGGUAGGCGGAAUUCGUGGUGUAGCGGUGAAAUGCUUAGAUAUCACGAAGAACCCCGAUUGCGAAGGCAGCUUACUAAACUGUGACUGACAUUGAUGCUCGAAAGUGUGGGUAUCAAACAGGAUUAGAUACCCCUGUAGUC
rnacentral:rRNA from 1 species